CCCUUAGACGUUCUGGGCCGCACGCGCGCUACACUGACCAGUGCAACAAGCAUCCGUCCUUGGCCGACAGGCCCGGGCAAUCUUUGAACGCUGGUCGUGAUGGGGAUAGACUUUUGCAAUUUUUGGUCUUCAACGAGGAAUUCCUAGUAAGCGCGAGUCAUCAGCUCGUGCUGAUUACGUCCCUGCCCUUUGUACACACCGCCCGUCGCACCUACCGAUUGAAUGGUCCGGUGAAGCCUCCGGAUUGGCGCGCACCUCGGUGCCGCCGAGAAGUUGGCUAAACCUUACCAUUUAGAGGAAGGUGAAGUCGUAACA
rnacentral:rRNA from 1 species